AGUGAGAGGCAUAGGAUGGGACAGAAGGAGAUGCUAAACAGUGAUGCAGAAGCAGCGAAGACCUCCGCAAUCCUGCAGGGAAGCUUGGGAGCUGGUACGGCCCUGCAGAGAUGCACUGAGCCUGACUGCUGCUGGAGCCCAGUGUGAGUCCUGGCAGAAGAAAUCUGCAAACCCUAGUCAGAUGUGUUUCAGCUUUGCAGUGGAUGGUAGGGCCACCCUCCCGUUGGGGUCAGGUCAGAGGACAUGACUCUUUAACAUUACUGAAAUUACAAGUUUCUUGAAUACAAGAUGAAGGAAGAGGUCAAAUAUCAAGUAGGAAGCCAAGCUGCCAUGUUGUAAGCUGCCCUAUGAAGGGACCCACAUGGCAAAGAAUGGAGAAUGACCCCAGCCAGCCAAGAACUCUCAGCCUACCGGCCCAUGAGGAACUGAAUCCUGCCAACAGCGAUGUGAGUGAACUUGGAAGUGGAUCCUUCUCCAGUGGCACCAUCAGCUCACCAUCCAGCCCGCCUGAGGCUCUGCCCACUGACAGGCUACUCCCAGGACAAUACUAGCUCCCCAGGACAAGCACUACACCCAGACGGCAUGUCAUUCAACAAGUCGGGGGCAGGCUUAAGGUGAAAAAUCAUCCCAAUUCUGGAGAUAUUAUCUGAAAAAAAAAGACUGUUUUCAGGAAACAAUCUUCCCAUCUGUGGUGAUUUUUAAAAUAUAGUUCCCAAAUUUUAUGUGGGAAAGGAAAGUAGCAAUAUAGAUGCAGGAAGAGCAUUACUGUGUGGAUAAAAAGAUGAUGUAUGCAAAUGAACAUGCUCAGCCUAGAACUUAAAUUAAAGUUACUGCCUGAUAUGGUAGGUACUGUGGUCUGAAUGUGUCCCCCAGAGUUCAUGUGUUGGAAACUUAAUCUCCAGUGCAACAAUGUUGAGCAAUGGAACCUUUAAGAAGUGAC
rnacentral:lncRNA from 1 species